rnacentral:rRNA from 1 species
AUUGAACGCUGGCGGCAUGCUUUACACAUGCAAGUCGAACGGUAACAGGCCGCAAGGUGCUGACGAGUGGCGGACGGGGGAGUAAUACAUCGGAACGUGCCCAGUCGUGGGGGAUAACUACUCGCAAGAGGAGCUAAUACCUCAUACGAGCUAUGAAUGAAAACGGGGGACCGUAAGGCCUCGCGCGAUUGGAGCGGCCGAUGUCAGAUGAGGUAGUUGGUGGGGUAAAGGCUCACCAAGCCAACGAUCUGUAGCUGGUCUGAGAGGACGACCAGCCACACUGGGACUGAGACACGGCCCAGACUCCUACGGGAGGCAGCAGUGGGGAAUUUUGGACAAUGGGCGAAAGCCUGAUCCAGCAAUGCCGCGUGCAGGAAGAAGGCCUUCGGGUUGUAAACUGCUUUUGUACGGAACGAAACGGUUCUGGUUAAUCCCCGGGGAUAAUGACGGUACCGUAAGAAUAAGCACCGGCUAGCUACGUG